CCUACGGGGGGCUGCAGUAACGAAUCUUCCGCAAUGCGCGAAAGCGUGACGGAGCGACGCCGCGUGUGGGACGAAGUCCUUCGGGAUGUAAACCACUGUCAGGGGUUACCAAGUUCUGAGGAGCCCCAGAGGAAGGCACGGCUAACUCUGUGCCAGCAGCCGCGGUAAGACAGAGGUGCCGAGCGUUAGGCGGAAUCACUGGGCUUAAAGCGUGUGUAGGCGGACGUCUAAGUACCUUGUGAAAUCCCACGGCUCAACCGUGGAACUGCUCGGUAUACUGGGCGUCUUGAGCCACUUAGGGGCUGUCGGAACAAACGGUGGAGCGGUGAAAUGCGUAGAUAUCGUUUGGAACGCCAACGGUGAAAACAGACAGCUGGGAGUGUGCUGACGCUGAGACACGAAAGCCAGGGGAGCGAACGGGAUUAGAUACCCUAGUAGUC
rnacentral:rRNA from 1 species